rnacentral:rRNA from 1 species
AUACGUAGGGGGCGAGCGUUGUCCGGAAUGAUUGGGCGUAAAGGGCGCGUAGGCGGCCCGGUAAGUCUGGAGUGAAAGUCCUGUUUUUAAGAUGGGAAUUGCUUUGGAUACUGUCGGGCUUGAGUGCAGGAGAGGUAAGUGGAAUUCCCAGUGUAGCGGUGAAAUGCGUAGAGAUUGGGAGGAACACCAGUGGCGAAGGCGGGUAACUGGACUGCAACUGACGCUGAGGCGCGAAAGUGUGGGGAGCAAACAGGAUUAGAUACCCUGGUAGUCCACGCUGUAAACGAUGAAUGCUAGGUGUAAGAGGUAUCGACCCCUUUUGUGCCGGAGUUAACACAAUAAGCAUUCCGCCUGGGGAGUACGGCCGCAAGGUUGAAACUCAAAUGAAUUGACGGGG